rnacentral:rRNA from 1 species
GCAUGCGAUCAUACCAGCACUAAAGCACAGGAUCCCAUCAGAACUCCGAAGUUAAGCGUGCUUGGGCGAGGGUAGUACUAGGAUGGGUGACCUCCUGGGAAGUCCUCGUGUUGCAUUCC